AGAAACUUAGGUUAAUUUUAAACCAAAGGCCUUCAAAGCCUUUAAUAGGGUCAAAAACUCCCUAGUUUCUG